GGGGGUAUAGCUCAGUGAUACAGUACUUGCCUAGUAUGUGUGAGGGCACCUUGGGUUCAAUCCCCAGCACCUCCA
rnacentral:tRNA from 1 species